rnacentral:rRNA from 1 species
GUAAUAUAUCGGAACGUACCCUAGAGUGGGGGAUAACGUAGCGAAAGUUACGCUAAUACCGCAUACGAUCUAAGGAUGAAAGUGGGGGAUCGCAAGACCUCAUGCUCGUGGAGCGGCCGAUAUCUGAUUAGCUAGUUGGUAGGGUAAAAGCCUACCAAGGCAUCGAUCAGUAGCUGGUCUGAGAGGACGACCAGCCACACUGGAACUGAGACACGGUCCAGACUCCUACGGGAGGCAGCAGUGGGGAAUUUUGGACAAUGGGCGAAAGCCUGAUCCAGCAAUGCCGCGUGAGUGAAGAAGGCCUUCGGGUUGUAAAGCUCUUUUGUCAGGGAAGAAACGGUGAGAGCUAAUAUCUUUUGCUAAUGACGGUACCUGAAGAAUAAGCACCGGCUAACUACGUGCCAGCAGCCGCGGUAAUACGUAGGGUGCAAGCGUUAAUCGGAAUUACUGGGCGUAAAGCGUGCGCAGGCGGUUUUGUAAGUCUGAUGUGAAAUCCCCGGGCUCAACCUGGGAAUUGCAUUGGAGACUGCAAGGCUAGAAUCUGGCAGAGGGGGGGUAGAAUUCCACGUGUAGCAGUGAAAUGCGUAGAUAUGUGGGAGGAACACCGAUGGCGAAGGCAGCCCCCUGGGUCAAGAUUGACGCUCAUGCACGAAAGCGUGGGGAGCAAACAGGAUUAGAUACCCUGGUAGUCCACGCCCUAAACGAUGUCUACUAGUUGUCGGGUCUUAAUUGACUUGGUAACGCAGCUAACGCGUGAAGUAGACCGCCUGGGGGAGUACGGUCGCAAGAUUAAAACUCAAAGGAAUUGACGGGGACCCGCACAAGCGGUGGAUGAAGUUGGAUUAAUUCGAUGCAACGCGAAAAACCUUACCUACCCUUGACAUGGCUGGAAUCCUUGAGAGAUCAGGGAGUGCUCGAAAGAGAACCAGUACACAGGUGCUGCAUGGCUGUCGUCAGCUCGUGUCGUG